UGACUGUGUUGCCUACUACACCAAAAUA
rnacentral:sRNA from 1 species